GAUCUUUCUUUAUUUUUGCUUACUUAUAUAAAUAAGUAAGCAAAAUAAGGAAACUGUU
rnacentral:pre_miRNA from 1 species